AAAUGACAGUGAUGUUAACAGCAAGAGUCAGGAUCAGGUUUGUGUUUCAUGGAGUACGAGGAUGAACAGCAUGAAUGCCAAGGUAAGCCAGGGAGCAGGAAUCUUUAUUAAAAGGAAGGUGAAAGACUCAGAAAUCCUGAUGCAGCUUGUUUGGGAGGGGCAAGAGUGCUGUGUAAGUCUUCCUUCUUUUAAAGGCACAAAAGAAGAAGUUGAUCAGCUUCUCUUGAUUGGUU
rnacentral:sRNA from 1 species